AAGUCCGCAGCGCUACGGCAACCGCAGGGUAGUUAGUAGUAGUGGUCCAGAGCGUUCCAUGCAGUUCCAUGGCGUCCGUUGUAAAUAGUAUAUCUCUGUACCUGAAACAAAAGAAAUAAAGCGUACGUGCGUGAAACUUACCUGAGUGCAAUAUAUUUCUCGUGAUUAGAUAAAAUAUAAACGACUUGUGUACGCGUCCACUACACAAGUUAAUUUGGUGACCCCGACGUGAUCAUCGAGGAAAUUCAAAGAUGCCACCACGUGGGCGAACAAAGGAUCCGCCGCAGAAAGGAAAGGUCCACCUAUAUUCAUAAUGAAGAAUGUGGGGUAAACUCAGCGGCCAACUUCCCGGUAGUCCAACACAGCUUUCAGGUUCUUACGACAGUGACGUACAAAAAUCCGAAGAGGAAGAGGCAACACCACGAGGCAUGGCGAGCAAUAACGAGACUCAACAAGAGGUACGCGAAUCCCCAGAUGAAGUGCAAGCCAGCGAUUACAGAGAUAUUAAGGUACCUUCAUUCUGGCGCAACAAUCCUAAACUCUGGUUCAUACAUCUGGAAAGCCAUUUUGUCUUACAUAGAAUUCGCUCAGACGAAGUAAAGUUUAGCACAGUUAUUAGCCACCUCGAUGCACAGACAAUGACAAAAAUUGAGGAUAUACUAGAUGCACCUCCUACGCAGAACAAAUAUCAGCAUGUCAAGGAAGCACUCAUCGCAAGAUGGACAGAUUCAGAAGAGCUUCAAAUGAGAAAACUCCUCACAGGCAUCGAACUGGGUAACAAGCGACCCAGACUUGCUCAGAGAAAUGAGGUCUCUUGCGGACAAGGAAGUCUCUGACAAAGCUUUACAAACUAUGUUUCUUCAACGACUCCCUGAACAUGUCCAAGAACUCUUGUUGGUUGUGGAAGGAGUAGGACUCAUCAAACUGGCAGAGGUUGCGGACAAGGCUAUGGACCGAAGAAGAGUACCACAUGUAGCCACCAUCUCCAAUUCUGACAACCACAUUUCAAGUGAUCUAGCGGCACUGGCCAAACGCAUAAGUGAACUAUCAACACGUCUAGAGUUUUCAGACAAACCUAACAAAGGUACAACCACUCAGACGGACUCGACCACAUCAACAAAACAAGAUGACAAGUGGUUAGAGUUAAAAAACAUGAUUGAAGAAAUAGCCGAGCAGCAAAGAAACUACUAUAACAAGAAUCAGCAAAAUCGCUCAGGUGAAAGAUCUCGUUCUAGUGAACGACAAAACGGAUUGUGCUACUAUCACCGACGCUUUGGUAAGGAAGCAAGAAACUGUGUUAGCCCGUGUUCCUGGAAGAAGCCACAGAACCAGGGAAACUAAACACGUCGUCAUCGGUCAAGGCGGUUCAUGACGACGAGAGCAGGAAACACCGCCUCAUAAUCACAGACGGAGAAUCUGGAAUGAGGUUUCUUGUUGACUCAGGAGCCGACGUAUCCGUUAUCCCUCGCAACUUUGCGGGUAAGCUACAGGCAGAUGCAUCCACGUCGCAGCUCUUCGCCGCAAAUGGGUCUCCUAUAGAAACAUACGGGACUGUAACGGAUUACCGACUGGGAUCCAUAAUAGUUUGUGAAAUGGCCGUCGUAUGUCAAAAUAAUCGAUUUCUUGAUCCCCUCCUAUUUACUUGUGAAAAUUAAGUCUCCAACCGUGUGUAACUCUUCCCUUUUGCCUUGAGACACUGAGGAAGAAGCACGUGUCACGUUUGGAGCACGACAGACAGUCCAUUUGCAGAGGCAAUAGGGUUGCGGUUUUAUAGUCAGUCCUGCACUCUAUCAAUAAUAAUUGAUAUUAGAAACAUUAUUAACGGCUAAUCCUGGAUAAACUACACGACAUACAUGGGUCAAUAUCAUACGGAAUACUACCAAUAAAAGACUGAAUCCUGGGCGAGCUCCAAAGGACUAAACGAGACGUACUCGAGAAGUAUUACCAAUCAAUAAGAAAACUUUGAAGAAUCUUAAUGAAUUGCGACCAUGCUUCUCACUCCCAACCUGAGAUUACGAAGGAAACUGCCUUGGGUCUUCAUCAUCGCGAAUGUGACCAGGCCCAUACUAGGCGCUGAUUUUAUACAUCACUAUGAACUGCUAAUCCACCUGCAAGGUAAAUGUCUUAGAGAUGUAAGUACCAACCUAUUUUCUGGCGGCGCAGUGACCAAGUCCAACGCUCCCACAAUACGGACCAUCACGGAUGAUACACCGUACAGCAAACCACUUAAAGUAUUUGUCGACAUCACACGACCUGUCAAGUACACGGGACUACCGAAACGUGACGUCCAACACUUCAUGAACACGAAGGGACCACCAGUAGCAGAACGUGCACGACGUCUCUCAGGAGAAAAGCUGAAAGCCGCAAAAGCAGAUUUUGAGUAUAUGUUAACUCAGGGCAUUUGUCGGCCAUCCAGCAGUCAAUGAGCCAGCCCUCUUCACCUCGCGCCUAAGAAAUCCGGCGAUUGGAGGGCCUGUGACGAUUACCGUCGUCUCAACGCACGUACCAUACCGGACAAGUAUUCCACUCCGCAUUUACAUGAUUUCACCCAAAAAUUACGUGACUGUUCCAUAUUCACUACAUUGGAUCUCACUCAAGCAUACUACCAAAUCCCGGUGGCAGAAGAGGAUCGACCAAAAACAGCAGUAAUCACUCCAUUUGGACUUUUCGAAUAUAACGUGAUGACAUUUGGACUGUGUAAUGCUGCACAAAGUUUCCAGAGAUUCAUGGAUACAGCUCUCCGUGGAUUGGACUUCUGCUUCUGUUACGUAGAUGACAUCUUAAUCGCAUCCAAGGAUGAGGCAGAACACGAGAGACACCUGCGACAAGUUUUCGAACGACUUCAGCAGUACGGACUCUCGAUCAACACCGCAAAAUGCGUUUUCGGCGCGCAAUCUGUGAAAUACCUCGGUUUCUCCAUCGACAAGGACAACGAUACGUCGGCUCCUGAAUCGACAAGAAACCUCACUCCAGAUUCUCUGUCUGUGAUUAUGAGUCGGUGUUUCCUGCUCUCGUCGUCAUGAAUCGCCUUGACCGAUGACGACGUGUUUAGUUUCCCUGGUUCUGUG